rnacentral:misc_RNA from 1 species
AAGUAUCUCAAAAGCUCUUAUAUAUUAUAUAUAUAAUAUAUGGGACUUUUGGACAAUUGGGAGUUGCCGGUCACUGAUGCAAGUGAUGGGCUCUUCUGAAAAGUAUUAGUUGAGGAGCUAUGCACUCUAUUGGUGUGAUAAAGUAUCUAUGCCAGGAGAAGCAUUAUUGCCUCUGCUUUCUAACAGUCCUUAUUGGACAAGAUGAUGA